AAUGCGAUAAGUAAUGUGAAUUGCAGAAUUCAGUGAAUCAUCGAAUCUUUGAACGCACCUUGCGCCCUUUGGUAUUCCGAAGGGCACGCCUGUUUGAGUGUCGUGA
rnacentral:rRNA from 1 species